UAAUUGAAGAGUUUGAUCAUGGCUCAGAUUGAACGCUGGCGGCAGGCCUAACACAUGCAAGUCGAGCGGUAACAGGGGAAGCUUGCUUCUCGCUGACGAGCGGCGGACGGGUGAGUAAUGUAUGGGGAUCUGCCCGAUAGAGGGGGAUAACUACUGGAAACGGUAGCUAAUACCGCAUAAUCUCUCAGGAGCAAAGCAGGGGAACUUCGGUCCUUGCGCUAUCGGAUGAACCCAUAUGGGAUUAGCUAGUAGGUGAGGUAAUGGCUCACCUAG
rnacentral:rRNA from 1 species